UACGAGGGGUGCAAGCGUUGCUCGGAAUUAUUGGGCGUAAAGGGUUGGUAGGUGGUCUUGUUUGUCUAAGGUGAAAUCCCAUGGCUUAACUGUGGAAGUGCCCUAGAAACGGCAAGACUAGAGUCCUAGAGGGGUUCGUGGAAUUCCCGGUGUAGCGGUGAAAUGCGCAGAUAUCGGGAGGAACACCUAUUGCGAAGGCAGCUCGCUGGGACGUUACUGACGCUGAGACGCGAAAAGCGUGGGGAGCAAACAGG
rnacentral:rRNA from 1 species